GGCCCGUUAGCUCAAUCAGUAGAGUCUAGCGCUAACAAUGCUAAGAUCGCGGGUUCGACUCCCGUUCGGUCCC
rnacentral:tRNA from 1 species